CGUUUUAGUAUAUUCUGUUGUAAAUUGGCAUAAUUACAUUCAUAAUCAGUUAAACUAGCCACACUCGGAGGAAAAGCAAACCCUCAAAUAAUGCCCACUCGAACUGACAUGCCAACCGCCAAUUUAAAUUGCACCCGUUAGACCGACAAACGCUUAUGCCGACAAGCCCGACGCUGCUGUCAAUCAAGCAAAGCGGCGCGACGAACGCCGCCAACACACAUACUGCUGCAUCGGGUUCAGAAAACACAAAACUUCUGAUCUGCCACCACGUCACCGCAAAGCAUCACUCCACAAAAGUUGUUCGAUAGUGUCGGGUGUGCUCAUCGUGUGUGGAUCGUUUAGCAUCCACGAACAAGUAGAGAAGGCGAAAAUCAAAGACGGUUAAGUUGAGAGGUCGAGCAGAACCACACGGGAACGGUUGCCGUGUCCCAUACGGCACGGUGAAGCACGGACGACACGCCUGGCAUCGAACAAUCGACAAAAGCACACUCUGGAUCGCCACGUGUCUGGAAAGAAACGAAGCUCUCGAUCGAUCCGAAGCAGCAGGCCAAACGGUGCGGACAGCACGAGAAAAAUCAAAAACCCCUCUGGGGUUUUUAUGUCGCACUGGAUUGCGUCACACCAUCGCUUUUCGGAGGCGGUAAUCACCGGCCAAGGUGCACGCAAGGCCAGGCAGCUUCGAUCGGACCAGCAGACCGGAAUCAGUUCCCUCGGACGGAUCAGCGGAAGCAGGAGCUACAGUUCGGAGAAAGAGCACUCUCGGCUGCCAUCACCCGAGAAAGGAUCGCCGACAGGCGGCUUCGGAAGAGGCCUACGAACACAGGGCAUCGCUGUUGAAGUGAGGUUAUGCUCCGGAUGUAACAUCACGGGAAGAAGGCCGUCGGUUCAGAACUGCGAGUGCGAAAGGCGUCGGAAAGAGGCACGUUCCGAAGAGUGCCGGAUUCGAGCGAAGCGUCGAGAGGAAUAAA